rnacentral:rRNA from 1 species
GAUGAACGCUGGCGGCGUGCCUAAUACAUGCAAGUCGAGCGAACGGACGAGGAGCUUGCUUCUCUGAUGUUAGCGGCGGACGGGUGAGUAACACGUGGAUAACCUACCUAUAAGACUGGGAUAACUUCGGGAAACCGGAGCUAAUACCGGAUGAUAUUUUGAACCGCAUGGUUCAAAAGUGAAAGACGGUCUUGCUGUCACUUAUAGAUGGAUCCGCGCUGCAUUAGCUAGUUGGUAAUGUAACGGCUUACCAAGGCAACGAUGCAUAGCCGACCUGAGAGGGUGAUCGGCCACACUGGAACUGAGACACGGUCCAGACUCCUACGGGAGGCAGCAGUAGGGAAUCUUCCGCAAUGGGCGAAAGCCUGACGGAGCAACGCCGCGUGAGUGAUGAAGGUCUUCGGAUCGUAAAACUCUGUUAUUAGGGAAGAACAUAUGUGUAAGUAACUGUGCACAUCUUGACGGUACCUAAUCAGAAAGCCACGGCUAACUACGUG